rnacentral:rRNA from 1 species
GAUGAACGCUGGCGGCGUGCUUAACACAUGCAAGUCGAACGGAAAGGCCCUGCUUUUGUGGGGUGCUCGAGUGGCGAACGGGUGAGUAACACGUGAGUAACCUGUCCUUGACUUUGGGAUAACUCUAGGAAACUGGGGCUAAUACCGGAUAGGAGCUCCUGCUCCACGGGGGGGGUUGGAGAGUUUCGGCGGUUGGGGAUGGACUGGCGGCUUAUCCGCUUGUUGGUGGGGUAGUGGGUUACCAAGGCUUUGGCGGGUAGCCGGCCUGAGAGGGUGACCGGCGACAUUGGGACUGAGGUACGGCCCAGAAGCCUACGGGAGGCAGCAGUGGGGAAUAUUGCACAAUGGGCGGGAGCCUGAUGCAGCAGCGCCGCGUGCGGGAUGACGGCCUUCGGGUUGUAAACCGCUUUCGCCUGUGACGAAGCGUGAGUGACGGUAAUGGGUAAGGAAGCACCGGCUAACUACGUG